UGGCGGCGUGCUUAACACAUGCAAGUCGAACGGAAAGGCCCUGCUUUUGUGGGGUGCUCGAGUGGCGAACGGGUGAGUAACACGUGAGUAACCUGCCCUUGACUUUGGGAUAACUUCAGGAAACUGGGGCUAAUACCGGAUAGGAGCUCCUGCUGCAUGGUGGGGGUUGGAAAGUUUCGGCGGUUGGGGAUGGACUCGCGGCUUAUCAGCUUGUUGGUGGGGUAGUGGCUUACCAAGGCUUUGACGGGUAGCCGGCCUGAGAGGGUGACCGGCCACAUUGGGACUGAGAUACGGCCCAGACUCCUACGGGAGGCAGCAGUGGGGAAUAUUGCACAAUGGGCGGAAGCCUGAUGCAGCAACGCCGCGUGCGGGAUGACGGCCUUCGGGUUGUAAACCGCUUUCGCCUGUGACGAAGCGUGAGUGACGGUAAUGGGUAAAGAAGCACCGGCUAACUACGUGCCAGCAGCCGCGGUGAUACGUAGGGUGCGAGCGUUGUCCGGAUUUAUUGGGCGUAAAGGGCUCGUAGGUGGUUGAUCGCGUCGGAAGUGUAAUCUUGGGGCUUAACCCUGAGCGUGCUUUCGAUACGGGUUGACUUGAGGAAGGUAGGGGAGAAUGGAAUUCCUUGUGGAGCGGUGGAAUGCGCAGAUAUCAGGAGGAACACCAGUGGCGAAGGCGGUUCUCUGGGCCUUUCCUGACGCUGAGGAGCGAAAGCGUGGGGAGCGAACAGGCUUAGAUACCCUGGUAGUCCACGCUGUAAACGGUGGGUACUAGGUGUGGGGUCCAUUCCACGGGUUCCGUGCCGUAGCUAACGCUUUAAGUACCCCGCCUGGGGAGUACGGCCGCAAGGCUAAAACUCAAAGGAAUUGACGGGGCCCCGCACAAGCGGCGGAGCAUGCGGAUUAAUUCGAUGCAACGCGUAGAACCUUACCUGGGUUUGACAUGGAUCGGGAGUGCUCAGAGAUGGGUGUGCCUCUUUUGGGGUCGGUUCACAGGUGGUGCAUGCCUGUCGUCAGCUCGUGUCGUGAGAUGUUGGGUUAAGUCCCGCAACGAGCGCAACCCUUGUUCACUGUUGCCAGCACGUUAUGGUGGGGACUCAGUGGAGACCGCCGGGGUCAACUCGGAGGAAGGUGGGGAUGACGUCAAGUCCUCAUGCCCCUUAUGUCCAGGGCUUCACGCAUGCUACAAUGGCUGGUACAGAGAGUGGCGAGCCUGUGAGGGUGAGCGAAUCUCGGAAAGCCGGUCUCAGUUCGGAUUGGGGUCUGCAACUCGACCUCAUGAAGUCGGAGUCGCUAGUAAUCGCAGAUCAGCAACGCUGCGGUGAAUACGUUCCCGGGGCUUGUACACACCGCCCGUCAAGUCAUGAAAGUUGGUAACACCCGAAGCCGGUGGCCUAACCGUUGUGGGGGAGCCGUCGAAGGUGGGACUGGUGAUUAGGACUAAGUAG
rnacentral:rRNA from 1 species